AUACGUAGGUGGCAAGCGUUGUCCGGAUUUACUGGGCGUAAAGGAUGCGUAGGCGGAUUUUUAAGUCAGAUGUGAAAACCCCGGGCUCAACUUGGGGACUGCAUUUGAAACUGGGAAUCUAGAGUGCGGGAGAGGAAAGUGGAAUUCCUAGUGUAGCGGUGAAAUGCGUAGAGAUUAGGAAGAACACCAGUGGCGAAGGCGACUUUCUGGACCGUAACUGACGCUGAGGCAUGAAAGCGUGGGUAGCAAACAGGAUUAGAUACCCUGGUAGUCCACGCCGUAAACGAUGAGUACUAGGUGUAGGAGGUAUCGACUCCUUCUGUGCCGCAGUUAACACAAUAAGUACUCCGCCUGGGAAGUACGAUCGCAAGAUUAA
rnacentral:rRNA from 1 species